GUGCUUGCUUUGGCAGCUCAGACACUAAAAUUAGAAUGAUACAGAGAAGAUUAACAUGGUCCCUGCACAAAGAUGACACACAAAUGUGUGAAGCAUUCUGUAUUUUU
ensembl:snRNA U6 U6 spliceosomal RNA